GCCUUCGUUGUGUAGUGAUCAGCACUCUCGACCCGUAAUCAAGAGGUCCGUGGUUCGAUUCCCUACGAAGGCG
rnacentral:tRNA from 1 species